rnacentral:rRNA from 1 species
UACGUAGGGUGCGAGCGUUGUCCGGAAUUAUUGGGCGUAAAGAGCUCGUAGGCGGUGUGUCACGUCGGCCGUGAAAACCUGCAGCUUAACUGUGGCGUGCGGUCGAUACGGGCAUCACUGGAGUUCGGCAGGGGAGACUGGAAUUCCUGGUGUAGCGGUGAAAUGCGCAGAUAUCAGGAGGAACACCGGUGGCGAAGGCGGGUCUCUGGGCCCGAUACUGACGCUGAGGAGCGAAAGCGUGGGGAGCAAACAGG